rnacentral:rRNA from 1 species
AUACGGAGGGUGCAAGCGUUAUGCGGAAUUACUGGGCGUAAAGCGCGCGUAGGCGGAUGAUUAAGUCAGUUGUGAAAGCCCUGGGCUCAACCUAGGAACUGCAUCUGAUACUGGUCGUCUAGAGUUUAAGAGAGGGAAGUGGAAUUCCAGGUGUAGCAGUGAAAUGAGUAGAUAUCUGGAGGAACAUCAGUGGCGAAGGCGACUUCCUGGCUUAAAACUGACGCUGAGGUGCGAAAGCGUGGGUAGCGAACGGGAUUAGAAACCCCAGUAGUCC